GGGGAGGUUGUGUUGUUGUUGUGUUCCUGGCUCUGGUUGCAGCCAGGAGAGAGAGCGAGCGAGCGAGAGAGCGAGCGAGAGACAGAGAAGGAGCGAGCGAGAGAGAGAGAGGAGCCGCGAUCGCGUUUCAGGGGCAGCACAUUCCGCAGGAACCGCUGCUGCAGAAACACACACAGGCAGAGAAAGGAGGUCAUUGCAAGCAAAGGGGGGAAAACCUGCAUCGGAGGUUGCAACAGACUUUCUUAUAAGGAUGUACCAGUAUCAUCACGAAUGAAUCCCUUCUACCUUUCCAUAACGGUAAAGUAAUUGGAAGUUUCAAUCAGCAGGUAUUUCCCUGCCUUUUCUGACUUGGGAUGGAUAUUUUUGAGAUGCAUCCAAGUAGAAUGUGGAAUCCUUUGAUUUGUGUUUGAGGUGUGAACAACCUCUGAAAGAUCUUGGAAAAGGAUAAGGAGGAACCUCUAUGGGUAACCCUUGGCUGGAAACAAUUACUGGUCAACCAUGGUAAAACUUGCCAACCCUCUUUAUACGGAGUGGAUUCUUGAAGCUAUACAGAAAGUUAAAAAGCAAAAGCAAAGGCCUUCUGAAGAGAGAAUAUGUCAUGCUGUUUGUGCUUCCCAUGGAUUAGAUAAGAAGACUGUUUCAGAACAGUUGGAACUUAGUGUUCAAGAUGGUUCUAUUCUUAAAGUUACCAACAAAGGCCUUGCAUCCUACAAGGACCCAGAUAAUCCUGGACGGUUUUCAUCUGUUAAACCUGGCACUAUUCCUAAAUCUGUUAAGGGAUCUAGAGGAGCUUGUAAUGAACUUCGUAAUGUGGAUUGGAAUAAACUCUUGAGAAGAGCAAUUGAAGGGCUUCAAGAACCAAAUGGCUCCUCCCUGAAAAACAUAGAGAAGUAUUUGAGAAGUCAGAAUGACCUAGCAAAUAUUUUCAACAAUCCUGCCUUUCAGCAGAGAUUGCGUCUGGGGGCCAAACGUGCUGUGAACAACGGGAGAUUACUGAAGGAUGGACCUCAAUAUAGAGUGAAUUAUGGCAGUUUGGAAAGCAAAGGAGUUCCAAAAUACUCCAGCACUUUCCCAGCUUCUCUUCCACCUGUUAGCCUUCUACCGCAUGAAAAAGACCAGCCACGAGCUGAUCCCAUCCCGAUAUGUAGCUUUUGUUUGGGAACGAAAGAAUCAAAUCGUGAGAAAAAACCAGAAGAGCUGUUGUCUUGUGCAGACUGUGGAAGCAGUGGUAAGUUGGCAGAAUGUUACAAAUACUAUAAGUGUUUAUGUUUAAGUCUGUUUUUAAGGUAUUAACAAUAUUUUAAACUUCUG
rnacentral:lncRNA from 1 species